rnacentral:lncRNA from 1 species
UGCUUCGUUCAAGUUCUUGUUCAUCUCGGUGUUGAAUAGUUGCUCCAUCUCGUCGAAAUCAGUCGUGUAGAAGCGUGGCGCCAGCAGGGUUUCCUUGAUUCCCUUCUUGUUUUUUCCACCGCCGGUUCCUUUUGUGGUGGUGGGGGUGGUGGUGGUGGCUGCUGACAUACGAACAAUGGUUGAGAUUCUCUGUGGCAGGAUUGUUCUUGCGGAGGUGAUGGUGGUGCUGCCGCAGUAUCCGAUUUUGGAGAUGGGUUUGAGCAAUGCCAUCUCUGCUGCCAUUGUUGGUUGUGGAUUUCGUUGUUG